AUCGCUUCUUGGCCUUUUGGCUAAGAUCAAGUGUAAACUCUCUUCCUUCUGUUCUCUAUUUGAGGAUCUCAGAAUUUACUGUAUAUUAGCCUGUUCUUAAGUUAACAUGCUCUUUUCAGUCUUGGGCAGUACUUAUUUGUAUCGUGUCAGGACAUGAUUCCUAGGAGGUUUUGUUUUUGAAGUUAAAACACUAACCUACUUCUU
ensembl:snRNA U2 U2 spliceosomal RNA